GAGAUACUUCCUCCGUCCCAAAAUUCUUGUCUUAUAUUUUUCUAGAUACGAAUGUAUUUAAUACUAAAACUUGACUUGAUACAUCCGUAUUUACACAAAUCUAAGACAAAAUUUUUGAGAUGAAGGGAGUACUAC
rnacentral:pre_miRNA from 1 species